AAGAGUAAAAGAAAAAGGAGGAGUAGAGAGUACCCUAGAAAGUAGAAACGGCCGGUAAAUUUUAGGAAGGCGGCCACCCAAACGGAGCUGCCAAAAAAGCAUCGAUAUUUCAUAUUGAUGGGUGAAUUCUCUCCUCCAUUACCUUAGCAAAAUUAAGCUACAAUUAUGGGUACCUGAGAAUUCAAGAUUACGCCAAAAAAUCUCAUUGCAGAGAUUAUUUUUUAUCAUAAUGGGUUCUUUUUAUUGUUUAUGUUUCUGAUUCUGUUAACAGUAUAUGAGGGUUUUGAUUUGAUAUGCAUUUAUUUAUCAUGCAAUUUAUGCUCACUAGUUUUGACUUAACCAGUUUUCCAUACCCCCUAUUUGUUGUUAUUCUUCUCUGGUGCACUCAACUUUCACUCUUGGAGCUUCUAUUAGAGAGCAUUAAUGUCUUUGAUGUGCUGUUAUUAUUGGGCUGGAGCUAAGUAGAUGUUUUGGUCUAUGGUUUGGCUUUUGAAAUAAGUCCAAUCUUGUAUUUUCUACAGCAGCUUAUUAGUUCUUUGUUUCCUUUUUUAUUUAUUAUAUAAUUUUUUUAAAGUGAUGCUAAAGAUACUACAAAUUUGACUUUAACUUAUAAAUUCUAAUGCUGUUGAAGUUAACAAUCAUGUUCAUUGCAGUUUUAUAGUAAACUUGGUAGUAAUUCUAGCAUUACCUUUUAAAAUAUUUGUUGGAAACUAAUUGGUUGAAGCAUGUCUAGAUCAAGGUGUUUUCCUGAUCUUUAUGCAGUUAUGCUUACCUUCAAUGUUCACCAUGCCAUAAAGAAGUAAAACUUCGUGUUUAUUUUUGUCAGGCAUUCUCUUGCUAAUCUCUAGUUAUCUGCAAAGAAUUCUUACUUUCUUAGAUGGUGAACUAAACCAACCUCACCAUCCUCCCGUUUCUGUAGAAGAAGGAAUUGCAAUUUGAGCUAGAGCUCAUGCGGUAGUGUGGGGGAAAUUGUAUAUCUUUGUAUAUUAGGGGAAUAAAACUUUGUUGCAAUGGAAAUUAUCUUAUAAAGGUAAUUUUGGUGUAUAUUUUUCUAAUUUUUAUAUGUAUUCUUAUGUCAUGUUUACUUUGCUCCUUACUGAGGAAUUAUGGAAAAAUACCAUUGAUAUUAUGUAUAUGGUUGCAAUUGUGAAAAAAGGUUUUAUUUCUCGUCAAAAACCCAAUCUUUAGCUCUGAGACAAGUAGUGUCUCUCAAGUUCUGAAAUGACUUUCUGGAAAGGUUACUAGUUGAUGCAUCAUACUCUGGUUUCUUUAUGAUGAAAUGAUUGGUCAUUGUCAUUUAAAAUUUUGCUGGGUUUAACUUUUGAUUCUCUUUUGAAGUGUUAUCAGUUAAUAGGAAAUUAAUCUCAAGACUUUAGCUGACUUGUUGCAACAAUGUGAUUUCAGGCAGAUCAUAUUUCAUCAUUUUCUAUCCUGGCCUUUUAUUCUCUCUCUCCUAUAGGAUGGAUUAAUCUGUGAACUAACCAAAUUUCAUCUAUUGUGUUGAGAAUUAAGAACUAUAUGAUUGCUUACUUAUUGAAAAAAAAGCUAUACGAUUGCUUAAAUGUCUCAUCUUUUUGGUUCCAUUGCCCAUUUUAAAGUAUAUCAAGUCUAGUUAAGAUGCUUUUUAGACUCCAAAUCUCCACAGGUUUCAGUGAUACUCCUAUAUGUUUUGAUUUCCAUUAUUUCCAUAGCAGAAAAUACCUUCUCCUAGCUUCUUAAUCUUAAGUAAUUUUUAUGUGAUGAAAAUGUGGGGCCUUACUUGAAAAUUUGAUGUCUUAUUCAUUCUAUAUUUGACUAAAUAUGAAGCAUUAAGCAAUUCUCGUGCUGCAUUAUUUAUUGCUGUUGGUUAUAUCCAAAUUUUCACAUUCAUUAUGAAUCCUAAUUUCCAGGAUUGAUAACUGGAGCACUGGAUGUACUUAUCUCCUAUUGGACCUAGAUGUAAAGUUGGUUUUUAGUAACUAAUAUCUAUUGUGUGGAGCCAUGUGCUUGAUACUUUUUAUUUUUUAUUUUUCAUCUAGGAUUUAAUUUCUAUGUGGCGAAAGGAAAACAGAAUACAAAUUCAGGUCUCCAAGUUAUGUUCUGUAUAUGUAAGUAAAAAUUAUGGUGCUACUUUUCUGUUAGCCUUACUUUUGCUUUUAUAUCAUCAUGCGAAUGGCAGACCAUGAGGAAACAAAGUGGCAGAUCGUUGUCUCAUGACUGCCCAGCUUACUGCUGCAGGUGGUUAUGUGGCUGUAUAUGAUGUUUGCCUUACUCAUCUGAGUGU